rnacentral:tRNA from 1 species
AUUUAAAUAGUUUAUUAAUAAAAUAUUGAUUUGUGGAAUCAAAGAUGUAAAGUUUACUUUAAAUA